AAAUUGAAAGAAGUUUGAUCAUGGCUCCGGUGAACGCUGGCACACGGCAGAGCUAGCACAUACAAGAUCCCGAACGGUAACAGGAAGAAGCUUUACGCUUCGCUGACGAAGUGAUGGCGGACGGGUGAGAGUAAUGUCUGGGGAAACUGCCUGAUGGAGGGGGAUAACUACUGGAAACGGUAGCUAAUACCGCAUAACGUCGCAAGACCAAAGAGGGGGACCUUCGGGCCUCUUGCCAUCGGAUGUGCCCAGAUGGGAUUAGCUAGUAGGUGGGGUAACGGCUCACCUAGGCGACGAUCCCUAGCUGGUCUGAGAGGAUGACCAGCCACACUGGAACUGAGACACGGUCCAGACUCCUACGGGAGGCAGCAGUGGGGAAUAUUGCACAAUGGGCGCAAGCCUGAUGCAGCCAUGCCGCGUGUAUGAAGAAGGCCUUCGGGUUGUAAAGUACUUUCAGCGGGGAGGAAGGGAGUAAAGUUAAUACCUUUGCUCAUUGACGUUACCCGCAGAAGAAGCUAUAAACUAACUCCGUGCCAGCAGCCGCGGCAGCACGGAGGUGCAGCGUUAAUCGGGAAACACUGAGCGUAAAGCGCACGCAGGCGGUUUGUUAAGUCAGAUGUGAAAUCCCCGGGCUCAACCUGGGAACUGCAUCUGAUACUGGCAAGCUUGAGUCUCGUAGAGGGGGGUAGAAUUCCAGGUGUAGCGGUGAAAUGCGUAGAGAUCUGGAGGAAUACUAGGUGCUUGGCGAGGCGGCCCCACGGACGAAGACUGACGCUCAGGUGCGAAAGCGUGGGGAGCAAACAGGAUUAGAUACCCUGGUAGUCCACGCCGUAAACGAUGUCGACUUGGAGGUUGUGCCCUUGAGGCGUGGCUUCCGGAGCUAACGCGUUAAGUCGACCGCCUGGGGAGUACGGCCUGGAGUUAAAACUCAAAUGAAUUGACGGGGGCCCGCACAAGCGGUGGAGCAUGUGGUUUAAUUCGAUGCAACGCGAAGAACCUUACCUGGUCUUGACAUCCACGGAAGUUUUCAGAGAUGAGAAUGUGCCUUCGGGAACCGUGAGACAGGUGCUGCAUGGCUGUCGUCAGCUCGUGUUGGCGAAAUGUUGGGUUAAGUCCGCAACGAGCGCAACCCUUAUCCCUUUGUUGCCAGCGGUCCAAGCCGGGAACUCAAAGGAGACUGCCAGUGAUAAACUGGAGGAAGGUGGGGAUGACGUCAAGUCAUCAUGGCCCUUACGACCAGGGCUACACACGUGCUGGUAAUGGCGCAUACAAAGAGAAGCGGCAUCUCGCGAGCAAGCGGACCACCAUAAAGUGCGUCAGCAGUCCAGUUGAGUCUGCAACUCGACUCCAUGAGAGGUCGGAAUCGCUGUAUCGUGGAUCAAAUGCCACGGCCGAAUACGUUCCAGGCCUUACAGCACACACCACGCCCGUCACACCAUGGGAGUGGGUUGCAAAAAGUAGGUAGCUUAACCUUCGGGAGGCGCACACCACUUUUGUAUGAUUCAUGAAACUGGGGUAAGUCGUAACAAGGUAACCGUAGGGGAACCUGCGGUUGGAUCACCUCCUUACCUUAAAGAAGC
rnacentral:rRNA from 1 species